rnacentral:sRNA from 1 species
CUUGGUCAUUUAGAGGAAGUAAAAGUCGUAACAAGGUUUCCGUAGGUGAACCUGCGGAAGGAUCAUUAGAGAUUGGCCUCUGGCCGUGUCUAUUCCACACAAACACUGUGAACUGUGUACGUCUUGGGGCUCUCGGGCCCCGGGCGCAAAACCACCAAAACAAUGUGUAAUGAAUGUAAACUAUCGUAACAAAAACAAAACUUUCAACAACGGAUCUCUUGGCUCUCGCAUCGAUGAAGAACGCAGCGAAAUGCGAUAAGUAAUGUGAAUUGCAGAAUUCAGUGAAUCAUCGAAUCUUUGAACGCACCUUGCACCUCUUGGUACUCCGAGAGGCAUGCCUGUUUGAGUGUCUUAUGAAAUCAAUCCCCAUGGGUUUCAUUACCUCGUGGUGGACUUGGACUUGGGCGUCUGCCAUCUGGCUCGCCUCAAAGACGUUAGUGGGAGAGGCUGCCUACGGCUUGACGUGAUAAGUUUCGUCUGGCCUGGCUCCUUAUGUCUGCUCAUAACCUGGCCCUCGGGCAACACUUUAUGUCAGACCUCAAAUCAGGUAGGACUACCCGCUGAACUUAAGCAUAUCAAUAAGCGGAGGAAAAGAAACUAACAAGGAUUCCCCUAGUAACGGCGAGUGAACCGGGAAGAGCUCAAAUUUGAAAUCUGGCGUGCCCCGUACGUCCGAGUUGUAAUCUAUAGAAGCGUUUUCCGUGCCGGACCGUGUCCAAGUCCCUUGGAACAGGGUAUCAAAGAGGGUGACAAUCCCGUACUUGACACGACCCCCGGUGCUCUGUGAUACGUUCUCUACGAGUCGAGUUGUUUGGGAAU